rnacentral:rRNA from 1 species
UAAAAUAAUUAAGGGCACACAAAGGAUGCCUAGGUAGUAAGAGCCGAUGAAGGACGUGGUAAGCUGCGAUAAGCCUAGAUAAGUUGCAAUCGAACGUAAGAGUCUAGGAUUUCCGAAUGGAGCAAUCUAUUAAGAUGGAGUCUUAAUACGAAAGAGGGAACCGCGUGAACUGAAACAUCUAAGUAACGCGAGGAAAAGAAAGUAAAAACGAUACCCAAAGUAGCGGCGAGCGAAAUGGGUCAAGCCUAAACCUUAAAUAUGUCAAGGAUACAGCCGUUGUAUUUAAGGGGUUGAGGGACAGAGUAGUGAAGAACUGUAAGAUAUUCAAUAUAGUGUAUUGAUGAAUUGGAAUUGUCUGGAAAGGCGAACCGUAGAAGGUGAAAGUCCUGUACAAGUAAAUCCUUACACAUAUAACUCUGCUCCCAAGUAACAUGGAACACGAGGAAUUCUGUGUGAAUCUGUGAGGACCAUAUCUCAUAAGGCUAAAUACUCUUACUAACCGAUAGCGCAUAGUACCGUGAGGGAAAGGUGAAAAGAACCCCUGGAGGGGAGUGAAAUAGAACCUGAAAUUGUGUGCUUACAAGCGGUCAGAGCCAGUAAUGGUGAUGGCGUGCCUUUUGGAGAAUGAUCCUGCGAGUUACGUUAAACGGCGAGGUUAAGUAUAACGGAGCCGAAGGGAAACCAAGUCUUAAUAGGGCGAUUUAGUCGUUUGGCGUAGACGCGAAACCUGGUGAUCUAAACCUGUCCAGGAUGAAGCUGUGGUAAGACACAGUGGAGGUCCUAACCCACCGCCGUUGAAAAGUUGGGGGAUGAGGUAGGUUUAGGGGUGAAAAGCCAAUCGAACCAGGAGAUAGCUCGUUCUCUCCGAAAUGCAUCUAGGUGCAGCCUUGAGUGUUCAAUUAUGGGGGUAGAGCACUGAAUGAUCUAGGGGGCGUAUUGCUUACUGAAAUCAAUCAAACUCCGAAUACCAUAAUUUAGAGCUCAGGAGUGAGACUAUGGGAGUUAACUUCCAUUGUCGAAAGGGAAACAACCCAGACCACCAGCUAAGGUCCCUAAUUAUAACUAAGUGGGAAAGGAGGUGGAGAUUCACAAACAACUAGGAGGUUGGCUUAGAAGCAGCCAUACCUUUAAAGAGUGCGUAAUAGCUCACUAGUCGAGAGUCUCUGCGCCGACAAUGUAACGGGGCUAAGUUAUAAACCGAAGCUGUGGAAUCCGUAAGGAUUGGUAGGAGAGCGUUCUGUAGGCCGUUGAAGGAGAAGGGUAACCGACUCUGGAGGUAUCAGAAGUGAGAAUGCAGGAAUAAGUAGCGAGAAAGGGGGCGAGAAUCCCCCUCGCCGGAAGACCAAGGUUUUCAGGGUAAAGCUUGUCUUCCCUGAGUAAGCCGGGACCUAAGCCCAGGCUAUAAUGCGUAGGCGAAUGGAAAACAGAUUAAUAUUUCUGUGCCAGUCAUAUAUUGUGAUGGAGGGACGCAGAAGGGUAUGCGCGCGGACGAACGGAAGUGUCCGUAGAAGUAUGUAGGAUGACUUGAUAGGAAAAUCCAUUGAGUUAUAUCUGAGGUAUGAUAUACAGUCGUAAGAUGAAUGCGCAAAUCCCACGCUGCCAAGAAAAGCUUCUAACGUUAAUAUAUGACUGCCCGUACUGUAAACCGACACAGGUGGUCAGGAUGAGAAAUCUAAGGCGGACAGGCUAACUCUCGUUAAGGAACUCUGCAAAAUAACCUCGUAACUUCGGGAGAAGAGGAGCCCUUGAGUGUUAGUAUCCAUGCGAUACAAAGCGCUCGAGGGUCGCAGUGAAGAGGCUCAAGCAACUGUUUAACAAAAACACAGGUCUAUGCUAAGCUGGAAGGCGAUGUAUAUGGGCUGACACCUGCCCAGUGCUGGAAGGUUAAGAGGAGGAGUGAGAGCUCCGAAUUGAAGCCCCAGUGAACGGCGGCCGUAACUAUAACGGUCCUAAGGUAGCGAAAUUCCUUGUCGGG